GUCCUUGUAGCGUAAUGAAUAGCGUGUUGGACUUUUAAUCCAAAGGUCGUGCGUUCGCGAAUCCCAUCUGGGAUG